UUAAGCGACCAAGCGUACACGGUGGAUGCCCUGGCAGUCAGAGGCGAUGAAGGACGUGCUAAUCUGCGAAAAGCGCCGGCGAGGUGAUAUGAACCCUUGACCCGGCGAUGUCCGAAUGGGGAAACCCGGUGCACUACGGUGCAUCAUCACAGCAUGAAUACAUAGUGCUGUGAGGCGAACCGGGGGAACUGAAACAUCUAAGUACCCCGAGGAAAAGAAAUCAACCGAGAUUCCCCCAGUAGCGGCGAGCGAACGGGGAGGAGCCCAGAGCCUGAAUCAGCUUGUGUGUUAGUGGAAGCGUCUGGAAAGUCGCACGGUACAGGGUGAAAGUCCCGUACACGAAAAUGCACAGGCUGUGAGCUCGAUGAGUAGGGCGGGACACGUGGUAUCCUGUCUGAAUAUGGGGGGACCAUCCUCCAAGGCUAAAUACUCCUGACUGACCGAUAGUGAACCAGUACCGUGAGGGAAAGGCGAAAAGAACCCCGGCGAGGGGAGUGAAAAAGAACCUGAAACCGUGUACGUACAAGCAGUGGGAGCCUCUUAAUGGGGUGACUGCGUACCUUUUGUAUAAUGGGUCAGCGACUUAUAUUCUGUAGCAAGGUUAACCGAAUAGGGGAGCCGAAGGGAAACCGAGUCUUAACUGGGCGUUAAGUUGCAGGGUAUAGACCCGAAACCCGGUGAUCUAGCCAUGGGCAGGUUGAAGGUUGGGUAACACUAACUGGAGGACCGAACCGACUAAUGUUGAAAAAUUAGCGGAUGACUUGUGGCUGGGGGUGAAAGGCCAAUCAAACCGGGAGAUAGCUGGUUCUCCCCGAAAGCUAUUUAGGUAGCGCCUCGUGAAUUCAUCUCCGGGGGUAGAGCACUGUUUCGGCAAGGGGGUCAUCCCGACUUACCAACCCGAUGCAAACUGCGAAUACCGGAGAAUGUUAUCACGGGAGACACACGGCGGGUGCUAACGUCCGUCGUGAAGAGGGAAACAACCCAGACCGCCAGCUAAGGUCCCAAAGUCAUGGUUAAGUGGGAAACGAUGUGGGAAGGCCCAGACAGCCAGGAUGUUGGCUUAGAAGCAGCCAUCAUUUAAAGAAAGCGUAAUAGCUCACUGGUCGAGUCGGCCUGCGCGGAAGAUGUAACGGGGCUAAACCAUGCACCGAAGCUGCGGCAGCGACACUAUGUGUUGUUGGGUAGGGGAGCGUUCUGUAAGCCUGUGAAGGUGGCCUGUGAGGGUUGCUGGAGGUAUCAGAAGUGCGAAUGCUGACAUAAGUAACGAUAAAGCGGGUGAAAAGCCCGCUCGCCGGAAGACCAAGGGUUCCUGUCCAACGUUAAUCGGGGCAGGGUGAGUCGACCCCUAAGGCGAGGCCGAAAGGCGUAGUCGAUGGGAAACAGGUUAAUAUUCCUGUACUUGGUGUUACUGCGAAGGGGGGACGGAGAAGGCUAUGUUGGCCGGGCGACGGUUGUCCCGGUUUAAGCGUGUAGGCUGGUUUUCCAGGCAAAUCCGGAAAACCAAGGCUGAGGCGUGAUGACGAGGCACUACGGUGCUGAAGUGACAAAUGCCCUGCUUCCAGGAAAAGCCUCUAAGCAUCAGGUAACAUCAAAUCGUACCCCAAACCGACACAGGUGGUCAGGUAGAGAAUACCAAGGCGCUUGAGAGAACUCGGGUGAAGGAACUAGGCAAAAUGGUGCCGUAACUUCGGGAGAAGGCACGCUGAUAUGUAGGUGAAGCGACUUGCUCGUGGAGCUGAAAUCAGUCGAAGAUACCAGCUGGCUGCAACUGUUUAUUAAAAACACAGCACUGUGCAAACACGAAAGUGGACGUAUACGGUGUGACGCCUGCCCGGUGCCGGAAGGUUAAUUGAUGGGGUUAGCGGUAACGCGAAGCUCUUGAUCGAAGCCCCGGUAAACGGCGGCCGUAACUAUAACGGUCCUAAGGUAGCGAAAUUCCUUGUCGGGUAAGUUCCGACCUGCACGAAUGGCGUAAUGAUGGCCAGGCUGUCUCCACCC
rnacentral:rRNA from 1 species